UGGAUUUUGUGAGGCCAAGCUUUAGACACUCUUCCAUACCUUCCCAUACAGAUUUGACAUCAAAUGGAACAAGGUCUUUUUUCUUGACAGGCAGCUCAUAUUCGUCUGACUUCAAGCUCACAGGAAAGUGAAUCAGGUACAGGUCGAGGUAAUCCAAACUAAGAUUCCUGCAUAAAAAUCAAAAACCUUAGUAGCACAUAUAACAUAAACUUGAUAUUUCUAAAAGAAGAAGGAGGAGGAGGAGGAAGAAUUGCUGGACUGGUGAUAAUUACUUGAGCGUUUUACGUAAUGCAGGGAGGACAGAGUCAUGAUGAGAGUCACAGCACCAAAGCUUGGAAGUGAUGAAGAGCUCAUCCCUGGACUUUACAAGGCCAAGCUGCAAGGCAUCUGAUAUUGCUUCGCCGAGGGGUUGCUCAGAUUGGUAAAGAGCAGCAGAAUCAAAG
rnacentral:lncRNA from 1 species